rnacentral:pre_miRNA from 1 species
UGUUAAAAAUUUCAUCUAUUUCUAUUGUUAAAAACUAGCAUGACUGAUAGAAUAACUAGACAAUUACACGUGACAUGCCAUGUAUACCUCAUUCUAACAUAUAUUGACAAUUUUUUAACAGCAAAAAUAGAUGGAGUUUUUAAUA